UAGCCUGCGUCCAGCCAGAGCUCCUGUGC
rnacentral:piRNA from 1 species